AGUCUAAAAAAUUUAGCCUAUUACUCAUAGAAUACUCUGGUGCCUUCUCUCUUCCAUUUGCUUCUCCAGAUGCAUUCUCCACCCUUCUUCAACUACUCUGUGGCCCUGGUAGCUGAUCUACAUGAACUACAUCAGUAGAAUCUGGUGGGAAAAGGAAGGAAGGAGAAUGAAGUCAGGGAACUUAUUCCCCCAUUCUCCUCCUUGCUACUAAAAGUCGUGCAUUUUAUCUGCCAUCUCUCUCAACAAGACUCUGUCCUUUUGGGGUUUGUUGAAAUAGAGUCUACUAAGUCACUGAAUUCUGGAAAGCACAUACUAUCCAGCAGAACUUGGGGAAAAAAUGGAAAAUAAAGUCUGCAGGCAGUGUUGACAUUAUCGCUACCACAUGAGCACUGACAAGAGAUCAAUUAAGGAGAAAGAAGAAUGUUAAUCCAAGAUGGAGUUGGCCCACCCUAAUUGAAGAAUGGUGAACAAGACUCUGGUCAAUGAAUUAUAACAUUUUAAAAUUCAUUCAUCCAUUUGAUAAUUAAUUCUGAUGGCAUCUUAAAUAAUCAUCAGAAGCUUUCCUCGCAAAGUACAUGAAGGAGCGAAUCUGGUUUCAAGCAGGGGUCAGUGGUCUGCAUCUGGGUGGAUGGCAGUGGAUGUGAUGACCUUGUAUGCUUCUGUCUCCUGAGCCAGCAACUGAACCUAAGUUCUGAAUGUAUUGGAAGGUAUUGAUCACUAUCAAGUUUAUUGUUUUAUUUUUAUAGUAAUAGUCAUAUCAGUUAUUGCUAUCCCACUAAGGAAGUCUAACUAUUUCAUAGAAAUAAAACACCACAUAAUAAGAUAUUAAAUCAUAUGAAGCAAAACUGACUUUUGACUAUAUCAUCACCCUAAGGGCAGUGGAUGGUAAUUUCUCCUUCUGAUUCUAUAGGUAGCUAAUUUAUUAUUUUCUCAUGUACUUUUAUAGGGCC